rnacentral:pre_miRNA from 1 species
UGUUAAAAAAAUUCAUCCAUUUAUAUUGUUAAAAACGAGUAUAGCUGACGAAAUAAUCAGAUAGUGACACAUGACAUGCCACGUAUACCUCGUGUUGAUGUACAGUUAUCAAUUUUUUAAUAAUAGAAAUAGAUAAAUUUUUAAUA